ensembl:lncRNA
CAGAGACCUCUACAGCACAGAGAUCCAGCCAUGGCACCUGCAAUCACUUCAGCAAUGAUCCACUCUAAGGAGCACCUGAGUCUGACCAACAAGCUAAGAAAGCCAGUAGUGGAAAAGUUAUUAAGAAAUAGACUUCAAGAUGGAGAAAUCAGGCAUCCUGGAGCUGACAGUUUUCUUCCUGAUACGACAACAACAGUACCAGCCAGUGAACUACUCCUCAUGCUAAGCUCCUGUCAAUCAGGGUUACUCCAGGAGUGUCCAAGAGAUUGUGCACUUCCUGUCCAAGGAUGAGGUGAAGACACAUUCCAGAGAAGACUGCUGAGCCACUUGCAGAUACUUCAGCCAUCCUCUGAUAAGAACAGAAGGGAGAGUGACCUGUCUCAGCUGAGUCCACCACCCCAGCACAGCAUAAGCAAAGAGCAGAGUCCAGUCAACAGCGCCCUCUGGAGGCCCUGGUAGAGUCUUACAGACUGGAGCUCCACUCCGAGACAAACAUAAUGGACCAUGUUGGUCUUACAUUAAUGUUGUGGAAAGUAAUGACAAUGUAUAGAGACAUAAUCUUCUGCUUAUGCAGGACAUUUAAAAGUUAUCUUUUGAUUGUGUUUAUUGUUUUUUCAUGAAUAUGUGAAAAAGCCUUCCCAAUGGAAGUUCAUAUAUAUAUAUGACUUUUUUUAUUUUCCUCUCUGAGGAAAUAUCAUCACUUUUCAUGUAACACGAGAAUCACGUAAAGUUAUUCUUACUAUUUAAGACGAAAUUCCUCAAUCUGCUAAAGAUGGUUUAUAAUCUGCAUUGCUUAGAAAAUGCAAAACAACCACAAAGGAACAAUUAAUUUCAUAAUAUUGUUGAUGUUUUUGAGUGAAUUUAUCUUCUUUGAAGAUGUGUCUUGAAUUGUCAUUCAUCAUGGACCCAUUAUAGUCUAUUUAUUACCCACAUUGGGUGAGAAAGCGCACAAAGAAUGUUUAAAUUCUUGAAUUAUGCAACACUAUCCUUCUGUGAAGGAAUUUCACAUCAUAUUUUCUUGUUUAUGACUUACAAAUCUUUAAUUGAUUUGCUUGAUAUUCAAGCCUGUUUUUUGUGUGAUUCACUACCAAUGUUACAACAUUGAAAUACUCAUAUCAUAUUAAGAUAUGUAUCUGUAAGAAAUGCAUUUGUUUGCAGUUGCUUCUAUGAAGGUUUUAUAUAACCCACACUCUAUGAUGUGUCUUGAAGAUGUUUUCAAGAAAUUGUAGGAAUGUGUCAUCACAAAAUGAAGAAAA